AUUGAACGCUGGCGGCAGGCCUAACACAUGCAAGUCGAGCGAGCGGCGGACGGGUGAGUAAUGUCUGGGAAACUGCCUGAUGGAGGGGGAUAACUACUGGAAACGGUAGCUAAUACCGCAUACCAUCAGAUGUGCCCAGAUGGGAUUAGCUAGUAGGUGGGGUAACGGCUCACCUAGGCGACGAUCCCUAGCGGGUCUGAGAGGAUGACCAGCCACACUGGAACGGAGAACGGGUCAAGACCCCUAGGGGGGGCAGCGGUGGGAAAUAUUGCAAAAUGGGGGAAAGCCUGAUGCAGCCAUGCCGCGUGUGUGAAGAAGGCCUUCGGUUUGUAAAGAACUUGCAGCGGGGAGACGUUACCCGCAGAAGAGGCACCGGUUAACUCCGUGCCAGCAGCCGCGGUAAUC
rnacentral:rRNA from 1 species